AGAACGAACGCUGGCGGCAGGCUUAACACAUGCAAGUCGAGCGCUGUAGCAAUACAGAGCGGCGCACGGGUAAGUAACACGUGGGAACAUGCCUUUCGGUUCGGAAUAACUCAGGGAAACUUGUGCUAAUACCGGAUACGCCCUUACGGGGAAAGAUUUAUUGCCGAAAGAGUGGCCCGCGUUGGAUUAGCUAGUUGGCGGGGUAAAAGCCCACCAAGGCGACGAUCCAUAGCUGGUCUGAGAGGACGACCAGCCACACUGGGACUGAGACACGGCCCAGACUCCUACGGGAGGCAGCAGUGGGGAAUCUUGCGCAAUGCGCGAAAGCGUGACGCAGCAACGCCGCGUGGGGGAAGAAGGCUUUCGGGUUGUAAACCCCUUUCAGUUGGGACGAAGCUUCGUUGGUUAAUAGCCGACUGGAGUGACGGUACCUUCACAAGAAGCACCGGCUAACUACGUGCCAGCAGCCGC
rnacentral:rRNA from 1 species